rnacentral:misc_RNA from 1 species
UCCCCCGUGAGGGGGCAGUCUCGCCUGACAUGUAUAACAGGCAACGAGGGUUGCGUUCGUUACCCCACUGAAGGGAACAACUCAAGCCACGAACUGACGACGACCAUGCAUCACCUGCACAGCUGUCUUGCGAGGGCCAAAGUUUCCUAAGGCUUUCAGCUGUGUUUCAAACCCUGGUGAGGUUCUUCGUUUGUCAUCGAAUUGAGCCGCAUGAUCCACCGCUUGUGCAAGUCCCCGUCUAUUCCUUUGAGUUUUAAUCUUGCGAUCGUACUACCCAGGCGCACAACUUAACGCGUUAGCUUCGCCACAAAGAGGGUCGAUACUCCUUAUAGCCAGUUGUGAUCGUUUAGGGCGUGGACUA